rnacentral:rRNA from 1 species
GACGAACGCUGGCGGCGUGCUUAACACAUGCAAGUCGAACGGUAAGGCCCUGCUUUUGUGGGGUGCUCGAGUGGCGAACGGGUGAGUAACACGUGAGUAACCUGCCCUUGACUUUGGGAUAACUUCAGGAAACUGGGGCUAAUACCGGAUAGGAGCUCCUGCUGCAUGGUGGGGGUUGGAAAGUUUCGGCGGUUUGGGAUGGACUCGCGGCUUAUCAGCUUGUUGGUGGGGUAGUGGCUUACCAAGGCGUUGACGGGUAGCCGGACUGAGAGUGUGACCGGCCACAUUGGGACUGAGAUACGGCCAAGACUCCUACGGGAGGAAGCAGUGGGGAAUAUUGCACAAUGGGCGGAAGCCUGAUGCAGCAACGCCGCGUGCGGGAUGACGGCCUUCGGGGUGUAAACCGCUUUCGCCUGUGACGAAGCGUGAGUGACGGUAAUGUGUAAAGAAGCACCGGCUAACUACGUG